rnacentral:rRNA from 1 species
UGGGGAAUUUUGGCCAAUGGGGGAAACCCUGAUCCAGCCAUCCCGCGUGUGCGAUGAAGGCCUUCGGGUUGUAAAGCACUUUUGGCAGGAAAGAAACGUCAUGGGUUAUUACCCCGUGAAACUGCCGGUACCUGCAGAAUAAGCACCGGCUAAUUACGUGCCAGCAGCCGCGGUAAUACGUAGGGUGCAAGCGUUAAUCGGAAUUACUGGGCGUAAAGCGUGCGCAGGCGGUUCGGAAAGAAAGAUGUGAAAUCCCAGAGCUCAACUUUGGAACUGCAUUUUUAACUACCGGGCUAGAGUGUGUCAGAGGGAGGUGGAAUUCCGCGUGUAGCAGUGAAAUGCGUAGAUAUGCGGAGGAACACCGAUGGCGAAGGCAGCCUCCUGGGAUAACACUGACGCUCAUGCACGAAAGCGUGGGGAGCAAACAGG